rnacentral:lncRNA from 1 species
GCCGUAGAUCUCCUCGUAGGCGGCGGCGACCUCCUCCUCGGACUCGGGGGGAAGCUCGUCGAAGGAAGGCGGGGCAACGUAGCCUUCCGGCGGGGCCGGGGGGUCGAAGGGAAUGUCGUCGUUGGGGUCGACGUUGUCGAAGAAGGAGGUGUCGAUGUCGGCCGUGGCGGCCAAUUUGGGGAGGGUUCGGGCGCGGAAGGAGGAGGAGGAAGGGAGCAGGGUGGCACAGAGGGGCUUGAGGCAGAGGCCGCCGCGGUGAAGAGGAGGGCGGAGGGAGAGGGAGGAGAGAGCGGCGGUGAUGGCCGCUGUCGCUAAAGCCAUCCUCUCGCUGCUGUUUUGGCUUCGAAGGUG